UGGUAAACUCCAUCCAAGGCUAAAUACAAGCACGAGUCCGAUAGCGAACAAGUACCGUGAGGGAAAGUUGAAAAGUACUUUGAAGAGAGAGUAAACAGUACGUGAAACCGCAUAGAGGUAAACGGGUGGCGUCAAGCUGCAAGCCCGGAGGAUUCAGUCAGUCAGGAUUGUGUAUGUGCCUGUGGCAUCGAUCAGUCGGAGUAAGAUAGAGUAGUCUGCCGGGUGACGGCAGGCCCAGUCGUAAGGCUGGGAUUUGUGUACCGGGAUGUGACCGGAGCAAGCUAUUCGUCUAGAGGACUGCCUGGCUGAUGCACUUCCUCUGUACGGUGAACACCACGACCAGUGGUACUGCCAGUCUGCCAUUGCCAAGUCGUGUUGGGUCGGCAUCUGAUGUCGGCUCAGCAUUGAUCACAAGCAAAUUCAGUGGACGGUGUAGGGGUGCCCUAAACACUCUUGCACGCUAUCGUACGCUGGUUGUUAUCGGGUGUGCCUAUUGAUUGCUGUAAUCGUCAGUGGGUGACCUGGUGGGCUAUGGUGGUAUGAAUAACUGUGCAGGGCACUGGAGUUAUCGGUCUCUAGUCUCGCUUGCGCACGCUUUACAGGCGGUUUCGGAGGCAUUGUUACAGCCUGCCGGUGUUUGGGUUUGAUUGUCGUGUCACCUGCACAAGUAGGUCCGGCAGUAGCCUGAGCUCGGUUGGAGUUGUUGACGGUGUCUUCUGUGCGAGUGAGCGUGGGCCUAACAGUCUGUGGUGCAGUGGUAGACGAGCUACCCGACCCGUCUUGAAACACGGACCAAGGAGUUUAACAUGCACGCGAGUCAAAGGGUCCUACGAAACCCAAAGGCGCAGUGAAAGUGAAGCCUCGACUUGUUCGAGGUGUGGUGAGAUCCUGCUGUUUCUCGCAUACCUGUACUUGUGCAUUUUGUGUCAGCACCAGGUUUAGAGCAGUAGGCGCAUCACCGGCCCGUCUCAUGAUGUGGUCGUUGGUUGACUUUUUUCUGUACACCUCGGUGGGCAGUUGGAGUUG
rnacentral:rRNA from 1 species